AGACAGGGCUGUGGACACUCAGCCGUCGCUGAGGGAGGCCUGGGCAGCAGGGGUGCAGCAUCAGGAUUCCCGGCAGGUUCCUGAUCUCAGAAUCACAGCUACCCAAGUUUCCUCUUAAGCUCGGUAGUCCCAAAGGCCACCUCUCAGCUAUUAUACCACCAACUCAUCCAGCGAUUCUAUAAUAUUCCCCAUAAUAAAUCCAUUUCUACCCCUGCCUGAUACACUCACCGAACCUCUCUCAUCUUCCCCUCCGAAAAUCUCUAUCACGACUUAGUUCCAAACAGAAGGGAACAGCCACACCAGGAAUGUGAACAGGAAAAACAUUAACAUAGCGAAUCGUUACCUAGUAAGAUGACGUUAACAGCGGAAGUCAAGAAAAGAGGACACAAAGGGAUUCAGAAGCAGCAAAUGCAGAAAGAUGCCGCGAUGGCUGGGCUUCAGGAGCAAGGAAGGGGCCGGGAAUGCACAGAGCUGCCAGGGGUGCGUGGCCCAGCCAACCUGGUGCAUCAAAUUAACUGUCGCAUGCGGUUAAUACCUAAGAACCCUUUUAUUCUUUUCCUGUUUUAGAAUUUUUUUGACAAUUGAACACAUUUUUGCAUAUGAACUUUAAAUUUGUGUUUUCCUAUUUUUAACAUUGGAAAUCUUACUGGAAUUAAAUAUUUAUAUUCAUUUGAGGAGCUGUUUGUUUGUUUGUGACAGAGUCUCGCUCUGUCCCCCAGGCUGGAGUGCAGUGGUGCAGUCUUGGCUCACUGCAACCUCCACCUCCCAGGUUCAAGCGAUUCUCCUGCCUCAGCCUCCCUAAGUAGCUAGGAUUACAGGUGCCUGACACCAAGUCCGGUUAAUUUUGUAUUUUUAGUAGAGAUGGGUUUUCACU
rnacentral:lncRNA from 10 species